AUUGAACGCUGGCGGCAGGCCUAACACAUGCAAGUCGAACGAGUGGCGGACGGGUGAGUAAUGUCUGGGAAACUGCCUGAUGGAGGGGGAUAACUACUGGAAACGGUAGCUAAUACCGCAUACCAUCGGAUGUGCCCAGAUGGGAUUAGCUAGUGGGUGGGGUAAAGGCUCACCUAGGCGACGAUCCCUAGCUGGUCUGAGAGGAUGACCAGCAACAUUGGAACUGAGACACGGUCCAGACUCCGAGGGGAGGCAGCAGUGGGGAAUAUUGCACAAUGGGCGAAAGUCGGAUGCAGCAAUGCCGCGGGUAUGAAGAAGGCCUGCGGGUGUUAAAGUACUUUCAGCGGGGAGGCGUUACCCGCAGAAGAAGCACCGGCUAACUCCGUGCCAGCAGCCGCGGUAAUUC
rnacentral:rRNA from 1 species